GCUGGGCAUAGUGGUGUGUGCCUGUAAUCCCAGCUACUCAGGAGGCUGAGGCAGGAGGAUCGCUUGAACCCGGGAGGCAGAGGUUGCAGUGAGCUGAGACUGCACCACUGAACUCCAGCCUGGGUGACAGAGCAAGACUCUGUCUCAA
rnacentral:SRP_RNA from 1 species